rnacentral:rRNA from 1 species
AGCGAACGCUGGCGGCAGGCCUAACACAUGCAAGUCGAACGGAUCCUUCGGGAUUAGUGGCGGACGGGUGAGUAACACGUGGGAACGUGCCUUUUGGUUCGGAACAACGCAGAGAAAUUUGCGCUAAUACCGAAUGUGCCCUUCGGGGAAAGGAUUUAUCGCCAUUAGAGCGGCCCGCGUCUGAUUAGCUAGUUGGUGAGGUAAAGGCUCACCAAGGCUACGAUCAGUAGCUGGUCUGAGAGGAUGAUCAGCCACAUUGGGACUGAGACACGGCCCAAACUCCUACGGGAGGCAGCAGUGGGGAAUCUUGCGCAAUGGGCGAAAGCCUGACGCAGCCAUGCCGCGUGAAUGAUGAAGGUCUUAGGAUUGUAAAAUUCUUUUCACCGGGGACGAUAAUGACGGUACCCGGAGAAGAAGCCCCGGCUAACUUCGUG